ACUCCUGCGGGAGGCAGCAGUGGGGAAUAUUGGACAGUGGGCGCAAGCCUGAUCCAGCCAUGCCGCGUGAGUGAUGAAGGCCCUAGGGUUGUAAAGCUCUUUCACCGGUGAAGAUAAUGACGGUAACCGGAGAAGAAGCCCCGGCUAACUUCGUGCCAGCAGCCGCGGUAAUACGAAGGGGGCUAGCGUUGUUCGGAUUUACUGGGCGUAAAGCGCACGUAGGCGGACUAUUAAGUCAGGGGUGAAAUCCCGGGGCUCAACCCCGGAACUGCCUUUGAUACUGGUAGUCUUGAGUUCGAGAGAGGUGAGUGGAAUUCCGAGUGUAGAGGUGAAAUUCGUAGAUAUUCGGAGGAACACCAGUGGCGAAGGCGGCUCACUGGCUCGAUACUGACGCUGAGGUGCGAAAGCGUGGGGAGCAAACAGGAUUAGAAACCCCAGUAGUCCCAUGA
rnacentral:rRNA from 1 species